CUACAGCAGAGCCUGCUGUACCUGAAGGAUCCUCAGCCUGCUAUGCGACAAAAUGCUCUCUUGUUCAUUGUCCUCCAUUUUUUGGAACAUGACAGUCAUCCGCUAGUCCGUAGUCAGGCAACAUUGACACUCCAGAUUCUGAGAAAACCACAGCAGCAGAAAAGGAAAGGAUGGGGCAGGCUUGUAGAACUGUGUUGCUGGCCCUGCAAUUCUCUCUUUCGUCAUAAGUCUGACUGA
rnacentral:lncRNA from 1 species